CAGUUCACGUAAAAGAAUGAAGCAUGUUAUAGCAUUAAACCCCAUCCCGUUACGUAUCAGAGCGACCUAGACGACACAGUGAAGGCAAGGCCACUCACGACGGCAACUGCACACUAAGCACGAUCACCUGCAAGUUACCCAUACGAAGGGCAACAUUUUCAAGCAGAAGGGGUGAGAUUUCAUAAUAAAAUAACAUUAAUCAAUGUAAUUGCGAAUCAUAAUUAACAUCAUAAACAUUCCAUUAUUAACUUUGCAUAAAUGCUAAACAGUUAUCACGUAAUCAUAUAUCCAAUUCAUUAUGAACAACGAAACAUAAUCAAAUAACACUUAUCACAUAAUCACAUAUUCAUUCAUUAUCAACAAGGCAUCUUAAUCAUGACAAUGUGACAAUGCUCCUAGACUCCUUAUAUGCAUGUGGUACCAAUCGUCAUCAUAAGUAUUAAUAUACUUUAAUCGUGCGGAGGACAAAGCUCCUAUAAAUCGUGCGGAGGACAAAGCUCCUAAUUUUCGUGGUGAGGACUAAGCUCAAUGAUAUGCUAUGCAUGGACUCUUAACAACAAAACACGUAAUCAACGUAAUCAACAUGCAUCCAAUAAUUUGGAGCUAAACUUUAUCAUAUACUUAUGCACUUAGUUAAACAACGGAAGCAGCAUAAACAAGUCACAUAUCAAGAUGAUAUUAUUAUAUCAAUAGCACAUAAAUUGCAUUAUUAUCAAACCUUCAUAUCUUGCAUGAAUAUACAAUACAUUAAUUCAUAUUCAAUUAAUAUCAAUAUAACCUAAACAACUCUACAGGCUGCAUUAAACGUCAUCACUAGGUCUCAUUACCAGUUAGGGGUUCACUCUUGAUCAACAAGUGCGACACAGAUCGCACAGACACUCAGGAACUACAAUCUGGUUGUACUCGCGAGGCGAGAGUUCUUACUCGCCAUGGCGAGCACCACUCAACUCCCAAACUAAGCUUGUUCUGGGUUCCCUCUGAUCCUACAUUCAUUCCUAAUCAAUACUAGGUAUGUUCAGGUACUCAAGGGUAUACAAGGUUCAACUAAAAAGGUCGAAACACGAAACAUGACAUGCACUCUGCCUAAGCUCGCGAGGCGAGGAAGGUUGCUCGCCAUGGCGAGUUGAACCAAACAACUCGCGAGGCGAAGGAAAGGGGCUCGCGUGGCGAGCGAUGAAGUUCAUCACUCGCGAGGCGAGGAUCAUCACUCGCCGUGGCGAGCGAUGAACAGAAGCACGGGCAGACUAGGGUUUUUCUCAAAAAUCCAUCACACAACAUGGUUCAAAGCCUAAUUUUGAUUCCAGAAUUCAUCCUAAACAUAUUCUAAGGUUAAAGGACGGUUUCUACAUCAAUCUAAACAAGUUUUACCGUUUGAUCAUCAAUUUUUAGGGUUUUAACCUAAUUCCAAAACUUUUCUAAAUCAAUCCUAACUUUGUCAAUUAAUCAUCAGAAUUACAACAAUCAAUGCUAUUGAAUUACUAGUCUCACCCUUACCUGGUUAUGAAGAAAAUCGCAGCACUCUACCUUGGUUCCUCUAGACUUGGCUUUUUCUCCCUUUUCCAAAAGUUUUCACGUACAAUGAGUUUCUAAAAUAUUAGGUCUUCUCCUAUUUAUACCUCUUUCUAAUAACUUAUCUUAUCUCACUUUCUCCCCCAAAACUAUCUAAAAUAUCAAAACAGCCCUCAACUAAAUAUUUUAUAUUAUUUUCAAAUCUUUAUUUUAUUUAACAAUAAAAUAAUUCCCAUAUCAUAAUCAAAUCCUUCAAUACUCAUAACUUAACACGUCAUCAAUCAAAUCAUCAAAAUUCAUCAAAACAUACCAAAAUCAUGCAUAUACUAUAUAAUUAUAAUAUAAUUGCCUAAACUCGAUUAAAUAAACGAUUAAACGAAAGUGGGCGUUACAACUCUCCCCCACUUAAAGGAUUUUCGUCCUCGAAAAUUUACCUCAAGCAAACAACUCUGGAUAAGACUCCAGCAUCUUACUCUCAAGCUCCCACGUCAAGCUUUCACCAGUCGCUCCCGACCAAACGACUCUCACGAGAGGUAUCUCCUUGCCUCUCAACGUCUUCACUUUACGAUCAUCAAUCCUCAACGGCAAAGUCUCUACCGUAAGGUUGUCUCUAAUUUGUACAUCGUCGCUUUGGAUUACAUGAGAUGGAUCCGGAACAUACUUUCGAAGUUGCGACACAUGGAAAACGUUGUGCAAAUUCGAAAGAUGCGGCGGUAAACCCACUCGGUAAGCCACCGUUCCAACUCUUUCCAAUAUCUGAUACGGACCAAUGAACUUCGGGGUCAACUUCUUUGACUUCAAAGCACGUCCUACACCAGUCAUAGGAGUGACUCUCAAAAACACGCGGUCUCCUUCUUGGAACUCAAGAUCUUUUCUACGCUUAUCAUGAUAACUCUUUUGUCGACUCUGCGACGCCUUCAUUUUCUCUUGGAUCAUCUGAACUUUCUCAGUAGUUUGCUGAACAAUCUCUGGUCCUAAGACCACUCUUUCUCCUGAUUCAAACCAACACAACGGAGUUCUGCAUCUCCGACCAUACAAAGCCUCGAACGGUGCCAUUCCAAUACUAGAAUGAUAACUAUUAUUAUAAGUGAACUCGAUCAACGGAAGAUGACUAUCCCAAGUUCCUCCUUGCUCAAGAACACAAAUUCUCAACAAAUCCUCUAGCGACUGAAUUGUUCUCUCCGACUGACCAUCUGUCUGUGGAUGAUACGCCGAACUCAAUCUCAACUUCGAACCCAAGGCCUCUUGCAAACUUUUCCAAAAUCUAGAAGUAAAUCUUGGAUCUCUAUCUGACACAAUGCUCGAAGGAACACCAUGCAACUUAACAAUCUCCUUGAUAUAAAUCUCUGCCAACUGGGCAACAGGGAAGCUAAUAUUAAUCGGUAGAAAAUGAGCUGACUUCGUCAACCGAUCAACAAUAACCCAAAUUGCGUCGUUCCCUCUAGGAGUAUUAGGCAAACUCGUCACAAAAUCCAUGGAUAUACUAUCCCAUUUCCAUUCUGGCACGUCUAAAGGUACCAUCAUCCCAGCGGGUUUCUGAUGCUCGACUUUCGACUUCUGACAAACUAAACAGGAAUACACAAACUGUGCCACAUCUCGUUUCAAACCAGACCACCAGAAAAUCUUCUUUAAAUCGUGAUACAUCUUCGUAGCUCCCGGGUGAAUACUCAAGCUACUUCUAUGACUCUCUUCAAGAAUCAUCUUCUUAAUCUCUUCAUUGUCUGGGAUACAAAUUCUUCCUCGGAAUCUCAACACACCUUGAUCAUCGAUUUUAAAAUCACUGUCUUCCGUCUGAUCUCUAGCAACCAACAAGUCCACAAACUUUACAUCAACUUUCUGUGCUUCCUUGAUACUUUUCAGAAAUUCACUAUCAAUCUUCAACAUACCCAGUUUCACGCUCUGAGGUGACCAUUCACAAACCAAACUCAUAUCUCGGAACUGUUCAAGCAAUUCGAACUCUCUGACCAUCAUGGCGGACAUAUGCAAUGUCUUCCUACUCAAGGCAUCUGCAACAACAUUAGCUUUACCUGGAUGAUAAUUCAAACCAAAGUCAUAAUCCUUCAACAAUUCGAGCCAUCUUCGCUGUCUCAUAUUCAAUUCCUUCUGAUCGAACAAAUACUUCAAACUCUUGUGAUCACUAAACACCUCAAACCUCGAACCAUACAAAUAAUGUCUCCAGAUCUUCAAUACAAAGACUACAGCCGCCAACUCGAGAUCAUGCGUAGGAUAAUUCUUCUCAUGAACUCUCAACUGUCUUGAAGCAUAAGCUACCACUUUACCUUCUUGCAUAAGUACACCUCCUAAACCCAACUUGGACGCAUCACAAUAAACCACAAAAGGUUCAUCUGACUUCGGCAAAAUUAACACUGGAGCAGUUGUCAAACGCUUCUUCAAUUCACCGAAACUUUUCUCACAAUGGACGUCCCACACAAAAGUUUUACCUUUACAAGUCAACUGUGUAAGCGGAAGAGCUAACUUAGAAAACCCUUCAAUAAACCUUCUAUAGUAACCAGCUAAACCCAAGAAACUUCUAAUCUCAGUAACGGACUUUGGAGUCUCCCACUGUGAUACCGCUUCAACUUUAGACGGAUCCACUGCAAUACCAUCUCCGGAAAUAACAUGGCCAAGGAAACUCACCUCUUUCAACCAGAAUUCACACUUAGACAAUUUAGCAUAAAGCUUCUUCUCUUUCAACACUUGUAAGACAAUCUUCAGAUGCUCAGCAUGUUCUUCUUCAGUCUUGGAGUAGAUCAAAAUAUCGUCGAUAAACACAACCACAAACCGAUCCAAAAAUGCAUGGAAGAUGCGAUUCAUAUACUCCAUAAACACUCCAGGUGCAUUGGUCACACCGAAAGGCAUAACUUUAUAUUCAUAGUGACCAUAACGCGUUCUGAAAGCCGUCUUCUGCAUAUCUUCGUCUUUUACUUUAAUCUGGUGAUAGCCUGAUCUCAAAUCAAUCUUGCUGAAAACUCGUGCACCCACUAGCUGAUCCAUCAAAUCAUCAAUUCUCGGAAGUGGAUACCUAUUCUUGAUAGUUACCUUGUUCAACUGCCGAUAAUCAAUACACAACCGCAUACUACCAUCUUUCUUCUUUACUAGCAAAACCGGCGCUCCCCAAGGUGAAACACUUGGUCUAACAAACUUCUUCUCAAGCAAGUCUUCCAACUGUUUCUUCAACUCAGAUAACUCGGAAGCAGACAUACGAUAAGGUGCCAUCGAGACCGGCUUCGUUCCAGGAACAAGAUCAAUAGAAAACUCAACUUCUCUCUCUGGAGGCACAUCAGGAAUCUCAUCUGGAAAAACUUCAGGAAAUUCACACACCACCGGGAACCUGUCAAUCACUGCUUGAUUCUCAAUAGAUAAAGUAGCCAUCAACGAAAACAUCAAGAUACCGUCGCGUUCCAGUUGCUUCAGCUGCUUAGUAGAUAAAAACUCUGCACCACUUUCCUCUUCGACGGAAGAGAAAUGUACUGACUUGCUAAAACAAUUAAUAAGAACGUGGUUGUACUCUAACCAGUUCAUACCCAAAAUCACAUCCAUACCACUCAAAGGUAGACAAACUAAAUCCAUUUCAAAAUCACGACCAAACAUAGACAAAGGACAUUUCAAACAUACGAGAGAAGUAGUCACCGAACCCUUAGCUGGAGUUUCGACAACCAUCUCUCCAUUCAUAUCAGACAAAACAAGACCCAAAGCAGAAACACAAUCGAAAGCAAUAAAACAAUGCGUAGCACCAGUAUCAAUAAUAGCAACUAAAGGAGUAUUAUUAAGAUAGCAAGUACCUCUGAUCAAACGAUCCUCAUUCUCUGUCUGAGUCCCAGUCAAAGCAAAGACCCUACCAGUAGUCGGCGCCCUCUUAGGCUGAGUACACUGUGAACUAAUGUGACCC
rnacentral:lncRNA from 1 species